UCCAAGAGUCUGACAUUCACAGAGGAAUCCCUGGUGAUCACUGAAAUGACUGAAAAGGAUGUGGUGAUGGAGGCAAUAAGCACUCAAAUAAAAGAAGCUGAAUCUAUGGAAUGCACAGUUGAAAUUGUGGAGGAAGUGACCGUACUGAGCGCUACCAAAGUCUCUGAGGCCGAGGUGCCCCUUACAGCCCGGGGAAGAAGCAGUGGCUCAAAACGAAGGAAGACG